CGACAGCAAAGCAAGGUAAUUACGCGCUGCCCCGAGGGCCUAAGUGUAAGAAAGCCGACGACGAGGCGAGGAGGAGGAGCAGCUUGCGCCCACUAUAGAAAUCCCUCGCCCUCCGUCUCCGCUCCCCCCAAAUCCCCCAAAUUUGACCCGUUUCUCCGCCGAUUCGCGUCACCCCCCUUUCUGCUCGGGUCGGUGAGUGGCCUCGGCCCCCGGCGGGGAUGGGGUACCUGAGCACCGUCAUCGGCCACCCCACGGACGGAUCGCCCGUCAGCGGCGGCGGCCUCAGCCAGAAUGGUAGGUUUAGCUAUGGUUAUGCGAGCUCCCUGGGUAAAAGGGCUUCCAUGGAAGACUUUUAUGAGACAAGAAUUGAAAGUGUUGAUGGACAGCUUAUUGGUUUAUUCGGAGUUUUUGAUGGUCAUGGUGGUGCUAAAGUAGCUGAGUAUGUCAAACACAACCUCUUCAGCCAUCUUCUUAGGCAUCCAAAGUUCAUGAGUGACACAAAAGUGGCUAUAGAUGAUUCUUAUAAAAGUACCGACAGUGAGUUCUUGGAAUCUGACAGUACUCAAAACCAGUGUGGGUCAACAGCAUCAACUGCUGUACUUGUUGGUGAUCGUCUCUUUGUCGCAAAUGUUGGAGACUCCAGGGCUAUCAUAUGCAGGGCAGGAAAUGCUGUACCUGUUUCGAAAGAUCACAAGCCUGAUCAGACAGAUGAGCGGCAACGUAUUGAAGAAGCUGGAGGUUUUGUUAUGUGGGCAGGGACAUGGCGUGUUGGUGGUGUACUUGCUGUUUCUCGCGCUUUUGGUGACAAGCUCUUAAAGCAGUAUGUAGUUGUGGAUCCAGAGAUCCGGGAGGAAAUCGUUGACGAGUCCCUGGAGUUUCUCAUCCUUGCAAGCGAUGGGCUGUGGGAUGUGGUCUCUAACGAGGUAAUUCAAGAAAACAGAAGGAUUUCAAGACCUGUAUCAUUUUCCACGUGUCUGAUAUGCCCUUUCUACACAACGUUUCUAAUGCAGGAGGCUGUCGAUAUGACCCGGUCAAUACAAGACCCAGAGGAAGCUGCUAAGAGGCUCUUGCAGGAGGCCUACAAGCGGGAGAGCAGCGACAACAUAACCUGCGUCGUCGUGCGCUUCUUUCACGGGCAAGGGAGUAGUGGGCCUGCUUAAAGCAGGUGCGAAGAGUUACUCUCAACUUCUCAAGUGGAUGUUGUACUGUGAUGACACACGUACAUGCCUUGAUUGAUUCUUAAGGUUUAAACGAAGAGAAACUGGAAGUAGGAAAAGUGUACUCUGAUAUGAGAACAAAAGUUUAGGAACGAAGUGUGCCCUAGGCCUUAGAUUUAACAAUAAAUUUGCUGGUGAUGAACUGAUGAUCGUUCAUCGUGGUUUAUAGUCGUGGACGGUGUUGGGUCUGAUGAGUGUGUUGUAUCUUGUUGUGGAUUGCCAAACCAUGUGUGAGUGUGAUGUAAUAUCCAUAACUCUCUCAAGGUAAGCGAUUAUUGUUGUACUGAAAUUGAGCAAUGACAAGUAUAAUUGAGUUGUUAGAUGGGUCUUAA